CGCCCCGUGCGGCAGCUGGUGGCGGCCUCCGCGGAGAGCUGGGGAACCGAGAUCGGGAGAGCCCCCCGCGCACGGGCCCCGCCGCCGGGACGAGCGGAGCGGAUCGGAGCGGAGAGGUGGGAGCGGGAGC
rnacentral:miRNA from 1 species